rnacentral:rRNA from 1 species
CAAUAGCGUAUAUUAAAGUUGUUGCAGUUAAAACGCUCGUAGUCGGAUUUCGGGGCGGGUCCGCCGGUCUGCCGAUGGGUACGCACUGGCGGGCGCGUCCUUCCUUCCGGAGACUGGCCCUACUCUUAGCUGAGCGGGGUCGGGAGUCGGAUCGUUUACUUUGAAAAAAUCAGAGUGUUUCAAGCAGGCAGCUCGCUCUUGCAUGGAUUAGCAUGGGAUAAUGAAAUAGGACUUUGGUGCUAUUUUGUUGGUUUCGAACACCGAAGUAAUGAUUAACAGGGACAGUCAGGGGCACUCGUAUUCCGCCGAGAGAGGUGAAAUUCUCAGACCAGCGGAAGACGAACCACUGCGAAANCANNNGCCAGGGAUGUUUUCACNGA